rnacentral:lncRNA from 1 species
AGACCACAAGGGCACGCAAGUGUUUCUACGACUUUCUGAUCUUCUGAUCAGACGAUAACAACUUUAUAAUUAUUUUUUUUAUUAUUAGUAUUAGUAGUACUAAUUAAGUUUUAAUGUAUUGGUUUAGUUUCAUAAUUGUGCUUUUACAGGCUGUAAUCUCUAUAUUUUAUUCCAAAUGGCCACAACGUUGAAAAAAAAAAAAGUACUCCUUUCCUUUUUUUUUCUAUUAAUAAUUUUGUUGGAAUUUGGAGUUUACUGUAUUUUUCAUUUUUUUUUAAUAUAGUAUAUUGGAGUGUGAAAAUGACUUAAUGGGGCAGCUCAAUAUAAUAUAUCUCUUGUCAAUUCUUAAUUUACUUUGAAUAUCCCCCACUAUUUUUUGGAGGAUAUUCUUUAAUUUGUCUUUUAUUCUAAGUGUUCAAAAUUAGUGACGUAAUACAAUUUAGUUGGCUUAAAAUUCCCCUCAAUUAUUUUCAACUUUAAAAAUUAAUAUUUUUUAUUAUUUACAACUUAUUUUCAUGGAAUCAAUCAUUAUUAGAAUGUAGCAGUUCACUAAUUUGAUUAUUAGCUAACAUAUUAUCAAAAGAUCUUGUAAUUAGGAAGUAAUUAUACUCUCCUAAAACACAUGGUAAACAAUUGAGUAAAGAAUUUAGUACUCUCUGAACUAGGACCAAAUUUGCUAGGACUAAAUUUUAGCGUAUUUUUAUCUUUCUUUUUAGCUUAUGUGAUAACUUUUGUCUAAUCUUUUUAGCUGACGUGACACCUUUGACGUGUAUCCUAUUUUAUGUAAUAAAGGUAUCGCGUCAGCACAAAAUGGUGACAAAAAUACGCUAAAUUUGAGUUUGGGGUAGUAAAAUUCCUAUGAAAUUAGAGUGUGUCGUAGCAGCUUUAUUAGCCAUUAUUUGGGGUACCGGAUGCUUAUCUCUAAACAGUUACACAUAACUCAAAUUCAGAUUUCUCAAUACUGGGGAAAUUUAUAGGGGAAAUUUACUCUUAGUCUGAGUAAUAGAUGGAUGCUUCAAAUCCUAAUAGAUAUCAAAGUAGAUCUUGAUAGACAUUCACUAUAAUGUAAAUACAUUUAUAACAAAUUUAUAGUACUUUUCAUGUAGUUUUUGAAUAUCUAUAUUUUAUUUUUUUAAAAAAAUUAAAUUAAUCUAAUCUAAGUUUGAAACUUAAGUCAAAUUAACUCACGGAGAGCAAAUGUAUAUAGUGAGCCAUGAAUCUAGUGAUUAUAAAUAUGGAUAUUUGGUUUUUCGAUUCAAAAUCAAAAAUAAUAUUGUUAAGAGUUUGUGACCCGAAUUUUGUUGAUCCGGCCUUGAAAAGUUUGCGGUGCAAUCCAUGUUUGUGAUUUUUAGUGGGGUCUGUGGUAUGGAUCUGUAUGUUUUCGAGCUUAGGCUUUAUUUGUACGCAUGUAUUAUAAGUACGUUUAGUGGGUUGUUUUUGGUGGUUCACAUACGUCAUUGAGACUUUCGUCUCCUCCUUGUAC